AAUUUUAUUAUGAAAUUCUAUUAGAUAUUAACAUUCGGAGAAGAAAUUAAAAAAGAAGGCAAUCAUAUAAUCGAGGAAGGAAAUAACCGAGAUGUAAUUGCGUGGUGCGAUUUAGGAAUGAGCAAUAUGAAACAUAAUCUUAAUUCCGGUCAUUAAGACCGAAAUUUAAAUAUUUAAUUGUAUUCUCUUUCCUUUAUUGUGCAUUUGUAAUUGUAUAUAUUCGACCCUCAACAUCAUUGUAAAGGGUCCCCGACUAACACACACACUUCAAUACAAUCUCAAACACUUCGAAUUAUCUACGAAUUCUUUUCAAUAUCAAUCUUUUCAUUCAUGUUCUAGCGCAAUUUUCUUCUUUUUAUUUGCUUUCUUUACAUUCCACACUUUAUCUUUUUGCAAUUUACUCUUAGUUUCUUUACGUUUCAUACAAUUUAUGUCACACCCUAAUUUUCGAAGGAUAAUUUUUAAAAAUUUGGGCAUGAUAUAUCUUAACAUCUUAAAAUCUCAAAACCUGCUCAACAACUUCCAAACUAAACUUAAAUGCUAGAAGUGUUAAUGUCAACAAAACUCAACAACUGAGUUAAACAUUACAUCUCCUUAAUUACAUUAACUUCAAAAGUCUAGUAAAAUAAGGACGCUCACAUGAGCUUAAAAACAAAGUGUAAUAAUAUACAAAUAAAAUAAAGUGCAUAGAAACUAAAAUCCUGCCACUAUGCCUCCGCCUCAACCCUGCUGAUCAACACCUGCAGGUCUAACCCCUACACCGGGUUGUAAACAACAAACCCGGUAAGCUAAAAAGCCCGUAUGAGUAACUCCCAAAAAUAACUCAUCACAUAAGAUAAAACCGGUAAUUCCUGCUUUAGAACUUAGUUUAGAAAUCGCCUCCAAACAAUAAAAUUCAAAAGAGAGUAAAUAAGAAAACACAAUAAUUUCCAAAACAAUUAAAAUCAUAAGUGAAUCCUGCAAAAAGGAUAGUUCAAGAAUUCCACUAAAAUCACACAAAUAAGAUUGAAAAUCUCCUGCAUUAAGCAUAGUUCAUGAGAUAUUCAAAACAAGAAAUUUAAUUGACAACAAUUAAGAAGAAUGUUAAAACCACAUUUUCAACACUUUUACAAAUAACAUGUACUCAUGAGUCCCAGAUAUUAAUAAAUACAUCUCAUGACCUACAACAACAAUUUAUGUACCCAUAGGUCCCAGAUACCAUAAGGUAUCUCCCAUGACCUACACCGACAGACGGACUAGAGCUCUAUUCCUAACUGUAACCAAUCACCCGGCCAAAGGCUUGGAACUCAGUUUGACUGUCCAAUAACAAAUCACAAAAUAAAAAUAGCAUCAUAACCGUAACCAAUCACCUGAUUAAAGGCUUAGAAUUCUGUUUGACUAUUUAAUAUCAAAACACAAAAAUGAUAAAUAGCAUCUUAACCGCAACUAAUCACCCGAUUAAAAGCUUGGAAUCCGGUUUGGCUAUUUAUCCAACAAUCACAAUAUCACAACAUUAUCAUCAACAACACAAGAUCACAUUAUAAAUUAUAUCCUUCCACAUAGAUAUAUUUACAUUAACAAAUAUAGAUAUUCCACAAGAAUAAUCUAUCAAUAACCAAAAACAUUAUGAUCAUAUGAACCUUAAAAAUAAUCAUAAAAUAAGAAAACUUGUUUUAACUUAUCUAUGAGCCGUUGGCGAUCAAGCUCAUAUAUUUUAAAACAAACAAAAAAAACAUAAUUUUUAAAUUAUAAUGAUUAUAAUCAUCAUCAUCAUCUCAUCAUAAUCAUAAUCAUCAUCAUAAUCAUCAUCUUAUCAUCAUAAUCAUAAUCAUCAUCAUAAUCAUCAUCACCAUCAUCAUCAUAAUCAUCAUCACAAUUCCAUAAAUAAUUGGUUCCAAGUGAACCUUGGUGAGAUGUUACUCACCUAAAUACUCCCGCUGCGUCUUCAAUAACAACACAAGAGUCAAGCCAAGUCAAUCACACUUCACAAAUUACCUAAAAUUACACAAACAAUAACCUUAGUAACCAAGGAUAUCACAACACCCUUAAACUAACCCUUAGCUCAAGGCUCAAGGGAGGACAAUUUCCCAAGGUCAUCACACUUAACAACCCCAAUAAGACUGCCUCUAAUCCUCAAACCCAAACUCAAAUCUCAACCAAGCCUAAAAUCAAACUUAAAGUCCUAACAUACAAACCUUGCUCACAACCUAAAAAUUCUACUUCUCAACAAGCUCACAACAAUAAGAGCUAGCUAACCACAUAAAAAUAAAGCUAGGAACACUGUCGGACGCGCUGCCACACGCCACCACAGGCGGCGGCGAGUGUGUCCCAUGCGCCACCCCAUCAACUUUAAAAUCUAAGCAAGCUCCCAACAGCAAACUUGUAGGUCACAUCAAAUGGAACACUUUUCAUACCUGUGGCCAAAGCCAAUUCGGCCGGAAAGAGGCCAGAAACGUCGCCGGAAAGAAACAAUGAGCAUUUCGAACUCCAAAGCUCCACGCUUAAAAUUAGGCUUCAAGGCUGGUAUCAUCAUGCUCAGAAGGACAAGAACUUCCAGAAAUUGGUAGCCUCAAACCUCGAUGUCAUCGGAAUCGGUCAGAGCUUCACUGCCGGUGGCAGCAAAAACUUGCGGGCCUUGCUGCGCCCUGCACAGUGCUCCAUAGGGUGUGAGGCUGGUAUAAAUAGAAAGAGGGGAGUGAGAGCUUUCCAACGAUACCAAGCACGUCCAAAUCCGUCGCUGGAUGGCCGAGUUAUGGCUGGAAGAAGUUUGAGGGUCAAAAUGGAAACGGGAGAGAGAGAGAGAGAGAGAGAGUGGGAACGGGGGGGGGGGUCGGUUNNNNNNNNNNNNNNNNNNNNUAACUUAUCAACAACCAAAAAGUACUAUAAUCUUAUGAACCUUAAAAAUAAAUCAUAUACUUGGAAAACUUGUUUGAUCUUACCGAUGAGCCGUUAGCGAUCAAGCUCAUUUAUUUUAAAACAACCAAAAGAAAUGCAAUAUUUUAAAUUAAAAUCAUCAUAAUCAUCAUCAAAAUCAUUAUCAAAAAUCAAUAAUCAUAAUAAUUAUCAUCAUCAUAAUCAUUAUCAUCAUCAUCAUCCUCAUCAUUAAAUUCAUUAUCAAAAAUCAAUCAUCAAUAAUAAUUAUCAUCAUCAACACAAUAAUUAUCAUAUCAUCAACAAUAAUCAUCCUCAUCAUCAUCAACAUUUUCACCAAUCAUAAUCAUCAUUAUCAACACAAUAACCAUAAAUAAAUAGGUCACAAAGUGAACCUUAGUGAGAUGUUACUCACCUAAAAAUCCCGCUGCGUCUUCACAAAAAAACUCAAGAACCAAGCUCAAAAACAACUCCACAAGCUACCUAAACAACACAAAUACUAACCUUAGUAACCAAACAACUAAAGAGAAUAUUGCACCCUUAACAAACCUUAACCCACGAGAUGACAACUUUCCAAGGUCGUCAUAAUUAACGACUCAAUACAGCUGCCUCUAAUCCUCAAAACCUAAACUCAAACCUCACACAAGCCUAAAAUUAAACUUAAUGUCCUAACAUGCAAACCUUACACCAAACCUAAAAUUUCCACAUCUCAACAAGCUCACAAUAGCAAGAGCUAGCUAACCACCGAAACGUAGAGCUAGGAACCCUGCCGGACGCGUUG
rnacentral:lncRNA from 1 species